AGGCCGCAUAGCACUGGCUAGAGACCAGGGAUGGGAACCGCGCCCCAUGACAGAGCUCGGGAAAAUCCACCGGGGUGCCGCGUGGUAACGUGACGAAAGUGCAGUACUGUUUUCCUCAACCUGGGAGUCAAAAAGGACAGUACAAGGAGGCAGGUACUCAUUUUCAUCCCAAGACAUGAGAAGAUUAAUAUGCUAAACUCUACAAACUAAGUCUGGACUCCAGAGCCUGUGCCUUUCACUGCUAUGCUAUACUGGACUAGCCCGAGACUCUAAUUUACAAUUUCCUUUUAAAAUUCAUACCUCCUGUUAGUGUGAAUUGAAUUGUCUCUGUAAUUGGCAGAAGCACAAUUGCAAUAAAUGUUAUGCAAGUCAGAUUGAGAGAGCUAAAUACUUUUCCUCAGAUUGAGAGAGCUAAAUACUUUUACAAAUACAAUUUUUAAUUUUAAAAUUAAAAAAAUUAACUUUUAACUAUCAUUGUGAUGACUUUCAGGUUAUUUAUUUUAAAAUGUUAUAUAAGCCACAGUACAGCAUUUUCUGGCAACUUGUAUCAAUUAUUGAGUUUUCUAGAGUAUAAUUUAUUAUAAUAAUUUUCUUGAUGAGGCACAUCAGAUGAAACGUAAGAUAGCUUAUGCAUAUUUUCAUAUAUCAAACAGAAAUACAUUAGUUUCCUGCCUGUUCCCCACCCCAACACACACCAGUUAAUACAUGAUACAAUGUAUUGUGUCCCCUGGAGAUGUCUCCCACCCAUCCUGACUCCUGGAUUAUUCUUAUUUCAAAUGUAGUAACAAUUUGGUACCAUUCUAAUAUGGCAUUUGUAAAGCUAGUACAUGUGGGAAAGAAAAACCAUAAAAGCAAAAUGUUUACAGUAUAAUUGAACAUUACCCUAAAGAGAGGACUAUCAUUGAAGGGACAUCGAUGGGACUUUGAUACUAGUUGUAGCAAUGCUUGAUCUGUGCCACUUCUGACAAGUAAUACUCUGUAAGAUAAAAGGACUUUAAAAAAAGAAAUAUAAAAAAAUAAGGGAGUAAAAAGGCAUAACAAAAAACUAACACAAAAACUGGAUUAAAAAAAAAAAUUAAUGUCAAAACCAAGAAGAGGUCUGAAAGAUAUCAUGUAAGAAUGAUUCUCAGCUCCUUCAUUCCCCAAAUGAUGCCACUAGGAAGCAGAUGGCAUACUGUUAACUAAUGAAAGAAAACUCUACUGGUGAAGUGCUAUUUUGCCUUUAUCCUUAGAAUUACACAACUUACACACUUAGCAAUCUUAAAAAAAAAUAGAUGGGGAAAAUGAUUGAUAUGAAUUACAUUCAUUUUAAGACCAUUUCUAGUUGUUUUGAAUGAAUCCAGAACCCAUAAAUAAUAUCCUAGAAUACUGAAAGAAUCUGAUGAAGUAACACAUGCCCUUGGACAGUAAAUCUGAGUCAAGAUGAUUUCGUUAAGGUAGAUACAGACAGACACAUCGCAAGGACAAGAAUACUGUUCCCUGGCUUAUCCACAGUUUUGAGCACAGUGCCUGGCGUGUAUUAACAGCUUGAUAAAUGUCCCUGACAAAAUUCCAAAAUCUAUUUUUUUUUAAGUAUGUGGACACGAAGAAAAGAAAGCAAUGGCCACUAGAAGGCAGCAAUGAUUCACAAAGACUAACCCCAUGUCUCAUAGUUUCCCGCUAUACAGAGGAAUGAAGAUCACAUCAAAGCAUCUGACCAAAUUUCACAUCGAUAAUCCCUAUAAACAGGAUGGAGCAUAAGUUCUGGCAUCUUAUAAUUAAACGAAUUUGUCGCUGGUUUAAUGAGACCACAAUGCUAUUUAAUAAGUAUCAAUCUAAAUGGAGAUAGCUUUACCUUGUCAAUAUUUUUUUUAGUAUUAUUUGUAGACAGAAAGCAAUUUUUAUCAAAUUUCCCUGUAACUUAAAA